CAGCAGCCGCGGUAAUACGGAGGGUGCAAGCGUUAAUCGGAAUUACUGGGCGUAAAGCGCACGCAGGCGGUUUGUUAAGUCAGAUGUGAAAUCCCCGGGCUCAACCUGGGAACAGCAUCUGAUACUGGCAAGCUUGAGUCUCGUAGAGGGGGGUAGAAUUCCAGGUGUAGCGGUGAAAUGCGUAGAGAUCUGGAGGAAUACCGGUGGCGAAGGCGGCCCCCUGGACGAAGACUGACGCUCAGGUGCGAAAGCGUGGGGAGCAAACAGGAUUAGAUACCCGAGUAGUCCCUGUCUCUUAUAC
rnacentral:rRNA from 1 species